rnacentral:rRNA from 1 species
CCUACGGGGGGCUGCAGUGGGGAAUAUUGGACAAUGGGGGGAACCCUGAUCCAGCCAUGCCGCGUGUGUGAAGAAGGCCCUCGGGUUGUAAAGCACUUUCAGUGAGGAAGAACGCCUGGUGGUUAAUACCCAUCAGGAAAGACAUCACUCACAGAAGAAGCACCGGCUAACUCCGUGCCAGCAGCCGCGGUAAUACGGAGGGUGCGAGCGUUAAUCGGAAUUACUGGGCGUAAAGCGCGCGUAGGUGGCUUGAUAAGCCGGUUGUGAAAGCCCCGGGCUCAACCUGGGAACGGCAUCCGGAACUGUCAAGCUAGAGUGCAGGAGAGGAAGGUAGAAUUCCCGGUGUAGCGGUGAAAUGCGUAGAGAUCGGGAGGAAUACCAAUGGCGAAGGCGGCCUUCUGGACUGACACUGACACUGAGGUGCGAAAGCGUGGGUAGCAAACAGGAUUAGAUACCCGGGUAGUC